UUUCCGUAGGUGAACCUGCGGAAGGAUCAUUACCAAAUAAUCAUCUACUGCAGGAAAUCACACCCUUUGCAAUUCUACUGUGCUUCGGGGAGUCGUUGGUAACAGCCGUUGGCCGAAGAACAAUUCUGCCGCCGCGCGCUCGUCUGAGUUUCAUACUCUGAAUUUGUAUCUUCAGAAAAACAAGCAAUAUAAAAAACUUUCAACAACGGAUCUCUUGGUUUUG
rnacentral:misc_RNA from 1 species